GACAGAGUGGUGUAGUGGUUUGAGUGUUGGACUAUGACUCUGGAGACUAGGGUUUGAUUUCCCACUCGGCCA